UACGUAGGCAGCGAGCGUUGUUCGGAGUUACUGGGCGUAAAGCGUGCGUAGGUGGUGAGUUAAGUCUGUCGUGAAAGCCCCGGGCUCAACCUGGGAAUGGCGAUGGAUACUGGCUCGCUAGAGUGCGGUAGAGGAGAGUGGAAUUCCCGGUGUAGCAGUGAAAUGCGUAGAGAUCGGGAGGAACAUCAGUUGCGAAGGCGGCUCUCUGGACCAGCACUGACACUGAGGCACGAAAGCGUGGGGAGCAAACAGG
rnacentral:rRNA from 1 species